GGUCGCGUAUAACUAUAACUUUUCAUAACAACGAAAUAGAUAAAGAGAAUUUUCGUGUCGUUUAAACUUUUACCGCGUCUUGCGUUUGACCAGUUGACCCGACAGUUGACUGCCGUUGACUGGGGGGAUGGAGAAUGGGAAAUGAUAUUUGAAGUUUAAUGACCCAAAACAUAAGUUUCAUAAGAUCAUAAAGUUUAUUGAUUAAGUACGGGAC
rnacentral:lncRNA from 1 species